rnacentral:rRNA from 1 species
GACGAACGCUGGCGGCGUGCUUAACACAUGCAAGUCGUACGGUAAGGCCCUUUCGGGGGUACACGAGUGGCGAACGGGUGAGUAACACGUGAGUAACCUGCCCACAACUUUGGGAUAACGCUAGGAAACUGGUGCUAAUACUGGAUAUGUGCUCCUGCUGCAUGGUGGGGGUUGGAAAGCUCCGGCGGCUGUGGAUGGACUCGCGGCCUAUCAGCUUGUUGGUGGGAUAGUGGCCUACCAAGGCGGCGACGGGUAGCCGGCCUGUGAGGGUGACCGGCGACAUUGGGACUGAGAGACGGCCCAGGCUCCUACGGGAGGAAGAAGUGGGGAAUAUUGCUCAAUGGGCGCAAGCCGGAUGCAGCAGCGCCGCGGGCGGGAUGACGGCCUUCGGGUUGAAAACCGCUUUCAGCAGGGACGAAGCUUUUUGUGACGGUACCUGCAGAAGAAGCACCGGCUAACUACGUG